rnacentral:misc_RNA from 1 species
AAGAUAAUUCUGCAGUUUGGUAAGCCGCACCUUCCCUCUCCUCAUUUUGCCGUCAAUGAGCGAAAAAUCAAAGUUCUUCAGAGCUAUAUACUAUGGACACAAAUAGAGAAAAUGAGGAGUCGAAGAGGGCUUCACAAUCCAGACAAACAAAGCGUGGACUAAUGGUGGAGGCAUGUAGAUCUGUGCACUCUAUUAUAGCCAAACGAUAGGCUUUGACUAACCUUAUUUUUUUUUAAAUUAUAGGAUACAUCUUAGUAUACUAAAAGAUAGUGUAUUAAAUAGUUAUUUAAAAAUGAUUACAUUAUAAAAUUAGAAAGAGAGAAUCUAUUAUUUUGUAAGUGAAAACGUAAAUAUAUUGAAU